rnacentral:lncRNA from 7 species
CCCGGGGCUCCGAGCGCCGCCUCAGCUUCUGCGAGUGGGUGUCCGGGGGGGGCGCCGGGGCGGGGAGUCCUCUCCCACCCCUCCCCUCACUUCCUCCCGCCCCCGCUCCCCGUUCCGACCCCCAGGGUCCUCUGUCUGUCCCCCUUCCUCCCGAUCCCUCCUCGCUCCCCCGCUCCCUUCUGUCUCCUUUCCCGCCCCCCCCACAGCUCUUCCCACGUUGGCCCCUCCAUCCGUCUCCCCCCUCUGACUCCCCUCUGUCUGCCCCCCGGGGUCCCCCGUCUUCCCUCUUCCUUCUCCCUCCCCCCUGCUGACCCCAUGUGCUGACCCCUAGAGUCCCCUGUACCCCCCAUGCCCUCCUCCCUGACCUCUGGAGUCCGCUCCCCCAUUUUGACCCCCAGUAUCCCCCAACGGGACCCCCUUUCUGUCUCAUAGAAGCCACCCAGCUCUCCCCUCCGCACUCUUCCACCCCAUAGAAGCCCCACUCACACCUUCCCUCCCCCCCCCAGAUUCCACAGAACCCCCUCUCCACCCCCAGACUCCCUUUCCACCCCACAGAAGCCCCACUAACCCCUUUCUCCCCCUCCUCAGCUCCCCUUGUCCCCCCUUGGAAUCGUGCCGAGGGAUCUGGAGACGUCCUAGAGAGGUCUGGGGGCAUCCAGGGGGUUCUGGACUCAUGCAGAAGAGUCUGGAGAUGUCCAAGGAGGAUCCAGGGAGUCCCCAGGCCUGCCUGCAGCCGGACCCGGUGACACCGGAGCCCUGUGGCGCUGUCACCAUCCUCUGUCCCGAGGACGGGAGGUGAACUCUGUGCCACCAGCAGAGGGGACCACGGGUGACAUCAGUGUGGAACAGCCGUGACGCGGCGGCGUUGUCAUUGGGUGUCACCGUCACGCAGAGGGGACAAAAGGACCCCCCUGGGGGCAUUGCGUCGAAGUUGGGGACACCGUGAGCAGCUUGAGGACUUCCCAGGGGAAGUGGGGGCACCGCGUCACCGUGUCACACCCCAAAGUUGGG